rnacentral:lncRNA from 1 species
GACCGAACUAGUUAGACUUGUUAAGUGUUUAUAUAGGUUAUAAACACUAAUGUGGCUAUGUGGUAAUGUGUCUAGGAGAAGUUUGACUGUAAAAUACAGUGUUACGUGUUAUAAAUGAUUGUGCUAAUUGUAAGACCGAUAUUGUGAUUAUAGGUCUUUCAAACGCAGUUAAUUAUAUUGUGUAACUGUAAUCAACGCGGAAGGCAAGUUUCAUAACUCAACCUUGAGUUAUAUUUAUUCAAUUAUUAUAAUGGUUAAUUAUUGCUAAUUAUACCAUGUCCAGGGAAUUUAUUGUUGAUUAUUCGCAGUUAGUGCAUGAUUAAUAAUUCAAAUUGAAUUACUGAUUCGGAGAAUAUACAUUUGUAGAAUAACUGUUGUUGGAUAUUCAUAUUCGUAGAAGAUAGAAUUGACAAUACAGAUAAUUCCUGUUCAUUGUCAAAUUAUGUUGAGAAAUGUCUUAGCUAAUUAUUCUGGCUAGACGAACAUUUGUUAGAACUUGAUAAAUUCGAGAAAAGAAUUCAAUUGUUAUUGGUAGAUCGAUGCCAAUUAUUUCGGCUAGAUCGAUAAGUAAUAGAAAUUGAAAUCAUUGCGUUUCGUUGUUCAAUCAAAUUUUGAUUCAAAGACUGAGAAGAACAACCUUUUAUAUAAAGGGAAUAUUUUAGGUCAUAUAUUCGACCAUUGCACACUGUUAAGUAUUAUGCAUAAUAUAGGGUACAAGGAGUUGGCCGGCUCUAAGUACUUGCAGAGGGGUAUGAUUUAAUCUUUAUGGUUAUCUGAUACUCCUGCGUAUGUAUCAAAGUAAAUCUUUGAUAGAUACCCGAGAAAAUAAGUUCUAGAUCUAGUGUGAUCGCUCAGCAUAAAUCUGGAAAACAUUCCACUUUGUUAUUGCGUAGAAUUGUUUCUUGAUUAUUCAAUAGAAUAUCGUAGAAACUUUGAAAGCGUUGUACUCUUUCAUUAUUAGAUUAUUGUGUUGCCUAUAAUACUAGAAGACUUGUUAUUGAUUAACAAUUUGUUCAACUAUUUCAAAGUUCACCAAACUUUGGUUUCAUUCUAUCAAAAUAGAUAGUCCGUUCUUAUUGAUUCGUAUACAUUUAUUGUAUGUCUUAACUUGCGGGGCAAACUUGUUGCUCACCCUUGCUAUAAAUAAAACAUUUUAGUUAGGAUCGAAGAGGCCAGUGGAGCGAAGAAGAACAAAGGCAAAGGCAAUGAACAAUAUUAUUAUUAUGUUGUAUUGUAAACCCUUUUUGUUUAUCUAAGGCGUAUGUUUGUAAUUUUAAGGUUAGCAAACCUGGGACUUAUGUAUUAACAACAUAUGUUAAUGACUUAUGUAUUCCUAUUUAUAUAUGAAUGAGUAGUUAAAUGAUAUUAUAUUAUGGAUCGUGAACACCAAACUCGGGGGUCAGGUAACCUGGAUUUGGGGGUGUCACAGGUUGGUAUCAAAGCUGUAGUGACCAAUGUGUCACCAGUUAGUAGAAGAGCUGUAGGUUAUAAACCUUAAGUGGGGUGGGGGAAAACCCUAGGAUUAUAAUCAUACACGAGAUAGAGAAAACUCAUUUAGAGUUCUAAGUGAGGGAUUGCCAAAGUGAAUCAAUAGUGAGAUAAAUGUACAAAUAGUGUGAGAAGUUUGUACUGGUGAAGUAUUAAUCAAGUUAUUUAAAUUGAUUGUAGGAUGUCUGGAGAAGAUGAAAUGAGUGCAGAGAUGCUAGCGGCUGUUGCACCAAUGCCAGAAGCCGUGGUGCCAGCGCAAAGUGAAUCGGUUGAGAAGGUUGAAGAAGAUGAACCAAUGGUCAAUCUGGGGAGCGAUCAUGACGAUUAUCCCGAGAUGUAUCUGAGUGGAGAUGAGGAGGCAGAGUCUGAGCCUGUGGCGACCCCAAAUCCGGAUACUUGAAACCCGAACUCGGUUCUCCACGAUAC